rnacentral:sRNA from 1 species
UGAAGGUUUCUGAACCGUCCCAAUAAGGGC